rnacentral:rRNA from 1 species
AAUGAACGCUGGCGGCAUGCCUAACACAUGCAAGUCGAACGAAGGCUUCGGCCUUAGUGGCGCACGGGUGCGUAACGCGUGGGAAUCUGCCCUUGGGUUCGGAAUAACUCAGAGAAAUUUGAGCUAAUACCGGAUGAUGACGUAAGUCCAAAGAUUUAUCGCCCAAGGAUGAGCCCGCGUAGGAUUAGCUUGUUGGUGAGGUAAAAGCUCACCAAGGCGACGAUCCUUAGCUGGUCUGAGAGGAUGAUCAGCCACACUGGGACUGAGACACGGCCCAGACUCCUACGGGAGGCAGCAGUGGGGAAUAUUGGACAAUGGGCGAAAGCCUGAUCCAGCAAUGCCGCGUGAGUGAUGAAGGCCUUAGGGUUGUAAAGCUCUUUUACCGGGAAGAUAAUGACCGUACCGGGAGAAUAAGCCCCGGCUAACUCCGUGCCAGCAGCCGCGGUAAU